rnacentral:rRNA from 1 species
CCUACGGGUGGCAGCAGUGAGGAAUAUUGGUCAAUGGUCGGGAGACUGAACCAGCCAAGCCGCGUGAGGGAUGAAGGUACAGAGUAUCGUAAACCUCUUUUGUCAGGGAACAAAGGCGGGGACGUGUCCCCGGCUGAGUGUACCUGAAGAAAAAGCAUCGGCUAACUCCGUGCCAGCAGCCGCGGUAAUACGGAGGAUGCGAGCGUUAUCCGGAUUUAUUGGGUUUAAAGGGUGCGCAGGCGGGCUGUUAAGUCAGCGGUCAAAGCCUGGGGGUAAACCCCGGGCCGCCGUUGAAACUGGCAGGAUCUAGUUGGAUAGAAGUAGGCGUAAGGCGCGGUGUAGCGGUGAAAUGCAGAGAUAUCGGGCAGAACUCCGAUUGCGAAGGCAGCAUGCCGGCUCCACACUGACGCUGAGGCACGAAAGCGUGGGUAUCGAACAGGAUUAGAUACCCCUGUAGUC